UUUAGUUGCGUCGCGUGGUGUCGAAAGACGCAGUUGAUAAAUGAAAAUAUAACCUAACCUCUUCUCUAAGCCGGAAGCCCUCGGACCGGCUUAAAAUAAACCAAGGGUUACGCGACGUUUUUUUUUAAUGCU
rnacentral:telomerase_RNA from 1 species